rnacentral:rRNA from 1 species
GAUGAACGCUGGCGGCAUGCCUAAUACAUGCAAGUCGAACGAGAGGAAGGAAAGCUUGCUUUCCUGAAUCUAGUGGCGAACGGGUGAGUAACACGUAGGUAACCUGCCCAUGUGCCCGGGAUAACUUCUGGAAACGGAUGCUAAAACCGGAUAGGUAGCAGACAAGCAUUUGACUGCUAUUAAAGUGGCCUUGGCCAUGAACAUGGAUGGACCUGCGGUGCAUUAGCUGGUUGGUGAGGUAACGGCCCACCAAGGCGACGAUCCAUAGCCGGCCCUGAGAGGGUGAACGGCCACAGUUGGGACUGAGACACCGGCCCAGACCUCCGUACGGGAGGCAGCAGGU